rnacentral:rRNA from 1 species
GAUGAACGCUGGCGGCGUGCUUAACACAUGCAAGUCGAACGAAGCAUUUGCGACAGAUUUUUUCGGAAUGAAGUUGCUUAUGACUGAGUGGCGGACGUGUGAGUAACGCGUGUGUAACCUGCCUUGUACUAGGGGGUAGCAGCUGGAAACGGCUGUUAAUACCGCAUAAGCGCACAAUGAUGCAUGACCUGGUGUGAAAAACUCCGGUGGUAUAAGAUGGACCCGCGUCUGAUUAGCUAGUUGGUGAGAUAACAGCACACCAAGGCGACGAUCAGUAGCCGAGCUGAGAGGGUGACCGGCCACAUUGGGACUGAGACACGGACCAGACUCGUACGGGAGGCAGCAGUGGGGAAUAUUGCACAAUGGAGGAAGCUCUGAUGCAGCGACGCCGCGUGAGUGAAGAAGUAAUUCGUUAUGUAAAGCUCUAUCAGCAGGGAAGAUAGUGACGGUACCUGACUAAGAAGCUCCGGCUAAAUACGUG